rnacentral:rRNA from 1 species
UCCCAGUUCAGAUCGCAGUCUGCAACCCGACUGCGUGAAGUCGGAAUCGCUAGUAAUCGCGGAUCAGCAUGCCGCGGUGAAUACGUUCCCGGGCCUUGUACACACCGCCCGUCACACCAUGAGGAGUCGGGAACACCCGAAGUCCGUAGCCUAACCGCAAGGGGGGCGCGGCCGAAGGUGGGUUCGAUAAUUGGGGUGAAGUCGUAACAAGGUAGC